UACAGAGGUCCCAAGCGUUGUCCGGAAUCAUUGGGCGUAAAGCGCGUGUAGGCGGUUACGUAAGUCUGCUGUGAAAGGCGGAGGCUCAACCUUCGAAAGCCGGUGGAUACUGCGUGACUAGAGUACGGAAGAGGAGAGUGGAAUUCCUGGUGUAGCGGUGAAAUGCGCAGAUAUCAGGAGGAACACCAACGGCGAAGGCAGCUCUCUGGGACGUUACUGACGCUGAGACGCGAAAGCGUGGGGAGCAAACGGG
rnacentral:rRNA from 1 species